UCAAGAUUCACCAACCAAUCAAAAAGCUCAAUCAGGUAACCAAAACAGCAUAACUUGGAUGAUUAUGCAUAGUAAUCCAGUUGAAUCUUCAUCUUCAACUACAGAAAGUAUCAGAUGCCCCAUUUUCAGAGCUAAACCUAUCAGGAUCUUUCUCUGUUGAACUUACUGCCAAUUGACUGCAAUGGGGCUUCUGACAGUGUAUUUUCCAGACACCCAAACAAGAGAUCCAAAUGAAGAAGUGGGUGGACUUACUGAUCCUCCUAAUGCAACAAAGCUGACUUGAUAGUUCUCUUGUAUGUCAAUGAGGUGUUUGUGGAAAUGCCGCUGAAGAGGACGGACAGAGAAGGGUAGUUCAGGUCGCCAGGCUGAAGAGCUGCAUCGGCUGGACAAGUGAAAUCCCUCCUUGACAGAAGAGAUAUUUGGGAAGAUGUGUAGUUCAGGCUGCAUAAGUAGUUCAAAUAGUCCUCUGCGGUGAUAUCAUACACCAGCCCAGGAUUGGAUGCCCUCUCUGGAUCGACGUGGCCAGAGCCAUAUGCGAAAGGGGUGGCCGGUUUGGACCCGUCAGAACCAGCAUCAGCUAUUGGACCCUUUCUGUUGUCGAGAGUAUAGGCAGUUGUCAUCAGCGCCGACUUGAUGGCUGCUGGUGACCAGUCCUUGUGGACAGAUUUAAGCAGUGCAGCCAAGCCACUAAUGUGAGGGCAGGACAUGGAAGUGCCGGAGAUUAUGUUAAAUUGAACGCUUCUCUUGUCGAUGCUAAGCCUGGUUGGACUGACAUUGGGCGGCCAGGCAGCUAAUAUGUUCACCCCUGGUGCAGUCAUGUCCGGCUUGAUCACAUCCGGUCCUACUAUGCUAGGCCCCCUUGAGGAGAAUGCUGCCAUCACUGGUGCAGGAUUGCCGUAAACAGUUCCUCCAAAUGCAAUGGAAGCUGUUGGGUUCUUUGCUGAGGUCGCGUGGUUUUUGAUGGCACUGCCAGCAGAAGCUCCCAGAGAAGUGGCUGGAAGAAUGUGUGCAUCAGCCAAAAUCUCUUCACCUUCAUCGUUGGUGUUCACUAGCAGCAUUCCGACACCCCCUGCCAUCUUCACUUGCUCUCCCUUUUCAGCCCGGCUGUUGAUUCCUCGCUCGCAAACAACAAUCUUCCCUUUGACAAGCUUUGGCGAGAGGGAUCCAUCAGUGCAAUACUCGGCUCCUUGGCCACCUGAAGUUUCACCAUAUACUAAUGGCAAUUGUUUAGUAGGCUUACCUGAAUAGAGUGAAGCCCCUUUGAAAGUUUGUUCAUUGCCAAGCUUGACUGUGGCUUGGAAGCUUCUAUCAAGGAAGCUUGCAGCCACAGUCAUGAUCCAAGGAGCAGCAUUGCUUACAGUUGAUGUAGAAGGGCCUGAGUUGCCGGCUGAGCAGGAGACAAAUACCCCGUUCUGAAUUGCACCAAAUGAAGCUAUUGCCAUAUUAUCACUGUGGUAAGGCUUUUGAAUGCCUCCUAAAGAGAGUGAUAACACGUCAACCCCAUCCAUGACAGCUUGGUCAAUGGCAGCCAGCAUAUCAGAGGUGGAACAGCCCAAUGGCCAGCAGAUUUUAUAUGCUGCAAUCCUUGCAGUAUACCUCAUGCCACCAGCUGAGCCUUUGGCCAGGCCUAAAAAGCUUGCUCCCGGUAUAAGAUUUCCAGCUGCAGUUGAAGCAGUGUGUGUUCCAUGCCCGUCUGAGUCACGAGCUGAACGAUACGCCACUGUUUCAUUAAUUCUCCCUGCAACAGCCUCGUACCCUUUGAAAAAGGCCCUUGCACCAAUGAGCUUCUUGUUGCAGUUGGAACGCGUGAACUUUGUGCCCUCCUCACAUGUGCCCUUCCAUCUAGAGGGCACUGGGGACAUGCCAGAGUCGCUAAAACUGCCAUGUUCUGGCCAUAUUCCAGUAUCCACAACGCCAAUAAUUACAUCUGAAGCCAAGUUUGAACCAUUCCAGAGGCCUUUGCCAUGCUUUAGGCCAAGAAACUGAGGUGAGCGUGUGGUGUGGAGAGACAGAAUUUCAUCCGGCGUGGCAGAGAGGAAGCCAUCAAUGUUUUUUAGUGAUUCAAGUUGGCUGGUGGAAAGUUUUGCGGCAAAACCAAAAAUAGUGGUUUCAUAGACAUAGAGAAGCUGAGGAGCUGAUGUUUCUGCUUCUUCUUCUUGAGAAGAGUUCAUGCUGAUGAAGUCCAUGAUUGAUUGGUACCAUGUUCUCGAAUUGCCAUGAGAAGUCUCUAAUGCUGUGAUCUUAGCCCUGUCCAUGUGAACUACAUAUGUUUGUCUUUCUGUUGAAGCAAAUGAAGUUGCAGCCAUGAGAGCAAACAACAGCAAGAAUGUCCUGAAGAUCAUUUUAAUUUGGCUGCAAAAUAGAGAAAUUUAUAAUCAAUAUUGGGAUGAUCGCCCUUGCGCAGCUCCCGAUGCUCGUGCCCUCGAUUACGCCAAGGGAGAUAAAUCGCAAGUUGGGCCUUUGGCCCUUGCGCAUUACGAGAAUCAAACUUGCAACCCACUGGAUUGACACUGGCAUAUUGCUCAUCCGACCACUUGACCUAUACCUUAGGGACAAUUUAGAAUCAAUAUUGAACAAUGCCAAAAGGAAAAGUAGGUAGUAGGUUAAUGUUUUUAAUGAAACGUGUGGGAAGAAACUCUUUAGUAGAUUAGAAAUACUAUUUUUAGAACAAAUGUAAAAACCUGAAAACUCUUUGGUAAGUGUUCAGAGAGAGAGAGAGAGAGAUGUUAUACCUAUUCAUUUCCUUCAAACUAGGAAAUGGUGUAUGUGGGCCGAGUAUCUUGGUUUGAGGCGCAGCUUCUAUGUUGUAUAUAUAUAGGCAAGGCUAGUAUAAUAAUGAGUUGACUAGAGCUCCAUUAACCGUGCUUGUUUCCUUGGAAAAUUAAAGAAGAAAACCUUCCAACUUUGUCUUCUCCUAAAGUGCAGGCCUGGGAUUGGAUAAAAGACAAAAAGAGAAAGAAAGAGAGAAAAUUAAGUUGCAAAAACUCUACUCCAACAUGGAAGGCAGAGGUUGAAGAUAAUAAGAGUUGGAAGUUUGAACUUGAAAGCAGUGGAGGCCUAAACUGAGGAACCCUUGAUUUGAUGAUGGGGCAAAGGCCAGGUUUGGCACUUUCCCACUCACCAAACAAUGCUAAGGUUCCACUUCAUGUGACUGACAAAGUACAAGGUAAAUAUUUGGAAAAUGGGAAGCUUUGGGACCAUUGGUAUGGAAGAGGAGAUAGACCCGAGGAGGAUGAGAUUCUUUCAGUGCUGUGCAUAUGGCUUUAUCAUCAAUUUGCCCCCUUUGAGUCUCCUCUAAGGUACAAAUUGUCCCAAAUUAAAGAGAGUAAGGUGCAGGUAAAACUUUUACUAAUUAGAUAAUAGAUGUCAUUAGACAUGUGACAUCAAAUAUUUUGUCAUUUUUUCUAUUUUUGGGAGGGUUGUGGUUAAAUUUAACGUGAGUCUAUUGACUCACUAACAACUAAUUGAUGGGUGUGAAUUUUGUUUUAUAUCGAUUAGGAUAUAUUACACUAAAAAAGAUCCAUAUGGGUAAUAAUUUUGUUGUUUCCAAAAAGGAUACAUAACAUUAAAUUUGAUAUUUACUUAUAUAAUAGAAUGAAUAUAUAUUAUUAAUU